rnacentral:rRNA from 1 species
GACGAACGCUGGCGGCGUGCCUAAUACAUGCAAGUCGAACGCUGACGGCGGAGCUUGCUUCUCUGGAUGAGUUGCGACCGGGUGAGUAACGCGUAGGUAACCUGCCUCGUAGCGGGGGAUAACUAUUGGACACGAUAGCUAAUACCGCCUAAGAGUAGAUGUUGCAUGACAUUCGCUUAAAAGAUUCAAUUGCUUCACUACCAGAUGGACCUGAGUUGUAUUAGCUAGUUGUUGGGGUAACGGCUCACCAACGCGACGUUGCCUAGCCGACCAGCGAGGGUGAGCUGCCUAGCUGGGACGGGGACAUGGUCCAGACUCCUGCGGGAGGGAGCAGGAGGGGACCUUUGGCAAUGGACGGAAGGCUGAACGUGCAACGCCGGGUGAGUGACGGAUGUUGUCAGGUCGUAAAGCUCUGUUGUAAGAGAAGGAUGUGUAGGAGAGUGGAACGUGCACACUAUGACGGUACCUGAACAAAAAGGUACGGCUAACUCCGUG